GGCUUUGGAUCCUCUCGAGUUUGAUCCUGGCUCAGCUAGUUCCUUCAGGGUGACAGGUAUUGGGGGUGAGUAAUUUUGAUCCAAACUGCCUGAUGGAGGGGGAUAACUCCAGGAUUUGGUCCUCUUACCUUUUAACGUCGCAAGACCAAAGAGGGGGACCUUCGGGCCUCUUGCCAUCAUAUGUGCCCAGAUGGGAUUAGCUAGUAGGUGGGGUAAUGGCUCACCUAGGCGACGAUCCCUAGCUGGUCUGAGAGGAUGACCAGCCACACUGGAACUGAGACACGGUCCAGACUCCUACGGGAGGCAGCAGUGGGGAAUAUUGCACAAUGGGCGCAAGCCUGAUGCAGCCAUGCCGCGUGUAUGAAGAAGGCCUUCGGGUUGUAAAGUACUUUCAGCGGGGAGGAAGGCGGUGAGGUUAAUAACCUCAUCGAUUGACGUUACCCGCAAAAGAAGCACCGGCUAACUCCGUGCCAGCAGCCGCGGUAAUACGGAGGGUGCAAGCGUUAAUCGGAAUUACUGGGCGUAAAGCGCACGCAGGCGGUCUGUCAAGUCGGAUGUGAAAUCCCCGGGCUCAACCUGGGAACUGCAUUCGAAACUGGCAGGCUAGAGUCUUGUAGAGGGGGGUAGAAUUCCAGGUGUAGCGGUGAAAUGCGUAGAGAUCUGGAGGAAUACCGGUGGCGAACGCGGCCCCCUGGACAAAGACUGACGCUCAGGUGCGAAAGCGUGGGGAGCAAACAGGAUUAGAUACCCUGGUAGUCCACGCCGUAAACGAUGUCGACUUGGAGGUUGUGCCCUUGAGGCGUGUCUUCCGGAGCUAACGCGUUAAGUCGACCGCCUGGGGAGUACGGCCGCAAGGUUAAAACUCAAAUGAAUUGACGGGGGCCCGCACAAGCGGUGGAGCGCAGGCGGUCUGUCAAGUCGGAUGUGAAAUCCCCGGGCUCAACCUGGGAACUGCAUUCGAGUGGCGAAGGCGGCCCCCUGGACAAGCGUGGGGAGCAAACAGGAUUAGAUACCCUGGUAGUCCACGCCGUAAACGAUGUCGACUUGGAGGUUGUGCCCUUGAGGCGUGGCUUCCGGAGCUAACGCGUUAAGUCGACCGCCUGGGGAGUACGGCCGCAAGGUUAAAACUCAAAUGAAUUGACGGGGGCCCGCACAAGCGGUGGAGCAUGUGGUUUAAUUCGAUGCAACGCGAAGAACCUUACCUACUCUUGACAUCCAGAGAACUUAGCAGAGAUGCUUUGGUGCCUUCGGGAACUCUGAGACAGGUGCUGCAUGGCUGUCGUCAGCUCGUGUUGUGAAAUGUUGGGUUAAGUCCCGCAACGAGCGCAACCCUUAUCCUUUGUUGCCAGCGGUCCGGCCGGGAACUCAAAGGAGACUGCCAGUGAUAAACUGGAGGAAGGUGGGGAUGACGUCAAGUCAUCAUGGCCCUUACGAGUAGGGCUACACACGUGCUACAAUGGCGCAUACAAAGAGAAGCGACCUCGCGAGAGCAAGCGGACCUCAUAAAGUGCGUCGUAGUCCGGAUUGGAGUCUGCAACUCGACUCCAUGAAGUCGGAAUCGCUAGUAAUCGUAGAUCAGAAUGUUACGGUGAAUACGUUCCCGGGCCUUGUACACACCACCCGUCACCCCAUGGGAUUGGGUCCCAAAACAAGAAGUUGUAACAACGGUAACCAGUAUGGUCCCAUUGAGUUUC
rnacentral:rRNA from 1 species